GUCAGAGGUCCUGAUGACCUCUAUACUGUCAGGAGCAGAGUGACAGUGGAGAAGAGACAAAGCAACAGCUUCACCUGUAGAGUCCAACAGAAGAACAUCAACCAGACCAGACAGACACACAUCUAUUUUCCAGCUGAUUCAUUCAUCAUCGAAUCUUGUUCUGCUUUCUGGUGUUACGUCGCCCUUGCUGUUGUCAUCGCGCUUGUCUUGGUGUGCGUCAUACUGCAGUGGAUCAAGUGGAACCGGGAAACUGUGAAGCUCUCCUCUCCCUUCCAAACACUAGCUACCCUCCAGGCAGUCAGUGGACAUAAAGUUUUUCCUGUGAUGUAGAGACAGAGCUCAGUUAAAACUUUAUGGAUGAAAGAUACUUUUGUUAC